ensembl:snRNA U5 U5 spliceosomal RNA
UCGCUUGGGCUUCUCUUCAUCACGUACAAAUCUUUCGCCUUUUACUAAAGAUUUCCGUGGAGAGGGGAGGGCGUCAACAAGCUCACAAUAUUUUUGGGGGCUCUGUUUUGAACAGAUCU